UACGAGUGGUGCAAACGUUGUUCGGAAUUACUGGGCUUAAAGGGUGCGUAGGCGGCUAUGAAGGUCUGAUGUGAAAUGCCACGGCUCAACCGUGGAACUGCGUUGGAAACCACAUAGCUGGAGUGAGACAGAGGUAAGCGGAACUGAUGGUGGAGCGGUGAAAUGCGUUGAUAUCAUCAGGAACACCGGUGGCGAAAGCGGCUUACUGGGUCCUUACUGACGCUGAUGCACGAAAGCUAGGGGAGCAAACGGG
rnacentral:rRNA from 1 species